GAUGAACGCUAGCGGCAGGCUUAAUACAUGCAAGUCGAGGGGCAGCACAGGUAGCAAUACUGGGUGGCGACCGGCAAACGGGUGCGGAACACGUACACAACUUACCUUAGAGUGGGGGAUAGCCCAGGGAAACUUGGAUUAAUACCCCAUAAAACAGGGGGCCCGCAUGGGCAUAUUGUUAAAGAUUUAUCGCUUUAAGAUGGGUGUGCGUAUGAUUAGGUAGUUGGUAGGGUAAAGGCCUACCAAGCCGACGAUCAUUAACUGGUGUGAGAGCACGACCAGUCACACGGGCACUGAGACACGGGCCCGACUCCUACGGGAGGCAGCAGUAAGGAAUAUUGGUCAAUGGACGGAAGUCUGAACCAGCCAUGCCGCGUGAAGGAUGAAGGUCCUCUGGAUUGUAAACUUCUUUUAUAGGGGGCGAAAAAGGGCCUUUUUAGGUCAACUGACGGUACCCUAUGAUUAAGCACCGGCUAACUCCGUGCCAGCAGCCGCGGUAA
rnacentral:rRNA from 1 species